GAUGAACGCUGGCGGCGUGCCUAAUACAUGCAAGUCGAGCGAACAGAUGAGGAGCUUGCUCCUCUGACGUUAGCGGCGGACGGGUGAGUAACACGUGGAUAACCUACCUAUAAGACUGGGAUAACUUCGGGAAACCGGAGCUAAUACCGGAUAAUAUAUUGAACCGCAUGGUUCAAUAGUGAAAGACGGUUUUGCUGUCACUUAUAGAUGGAUCCGCGCCGCAUUAGCUAGUUGGUAAGGUAACGGCUUACCAAGGCAACGAUGCGUAGCCGACCUGAGAGGGUGAUCGGCCACACUGGAACUGAGACACGGUCCAGACUCCUACGGGAGGCAGCAGUAGGGAAUCUUCCGCCAUGGGCGAAAGCCUGACGGAGCACCGCCGCGUGAGUGAUGAAGGUCUUCGGAUCGUAAAACUCUGUUAUUAGGGAAGAACAAAUGUGUAAGUAACUAUGCACGUCUUGACGGUACCUACUCAGAAAGCCACGGCUCCCUACGUG
rnacentral:rRNA from 1 species